rnacentral:rRNA from 1 species
GAUGAACGCUGGCGGCGUGCCUAAUACAUUCAAGUCGAGCGAACAGAUGAGGAGCUUGCUCCUCUGACGUUAGCGGCGGACGGGUGAGUAACACGUGGAUAACCUACCUAUAAGACUGGGAUAACUUCGGGAAACCGGAGCUAAUACCGGAUAAUAUAUUGAACCGCAUGGUUCAAUAGUGAAAGACGGUUUUGCUGUCACUUAUAGAUGGAUCCGCGCCGCAUUAGCUAGUUGGUAAGGUAACGGCUUACCAAGGCAACGAUGCGUAGCCGACCUGAGAGGGUGAUCGGCCACACUGGAACUGAGACACGGUCCAGACUCCUACGGGAGGCAGCAGUAGGGAAUCUUCCGCAAUGGGCGAAAGCCUGACGGAGCAACGCCGCGUGAGUGAUGAAGGUCUUCGGAUCGUAAAACUCUGUUAUUAGGGAAGAACAAAUGUGUAAGUAACUAUGCACGUCUUGACGGUACCUAAUCAGAAAGCCACGGCUAACUACGUG